CCGGAAAUGGUACCAUGACAAUGAAAAAGCAUUUACAAGCACAUGCUUUGUAUCAGAGUGCACAGCAUUCAGAGAUAUACAAGUGCAAACCAACAGAUUAUGAAAAUUUAACAUGAUCAACAAGUCAAAAUAUAAUGUCUAAAGACACAAGAAAAAAUGUAAGUUUGAAAAACAAACAUAAAUUGAAAAGGAAAAGAAAAUUUGAAAUCCAGAAAGGCAAGUAGAACAGCAAAGAUCCAUGCAUUAUGCCUCGUAAUUCCAUAAAAGAAAUGAACAACAUAACUCAAAAAGUGUGCCAAUAAGCAAAUAAAUCAAUUAGCGUGUCCUCAUCAUCCUAAAAACUUAGCUCAUAUUUUAAUAAACCAAAAAAAAAA